rnacentral:rRNA from 1 species
UAUUAUUUUUGAUGUUAAUUAUUUAACUUGAGUAGUAAUAGUUAUGGUCUUGAAACUUAAAGAAUUUGGCAGUAUUUUAUUCUGUUCAGAGGAACCUGUUCUUUUAUCGAUAAUCCUCGUUGGACCUUACUUAAUUUAUUGAUUUGUAUACCGCCGUUUUAUUGAGGAUCUUUAUAGUGUUUUUAAUUUUCUGGUUUUUAUUUGAAAUUAUUUCAGGUCAAGGUGCAAUUUAUGAUUAAGUAGAAAUGGGUUACAAUUAUAUUUAUUUUUGAAUUAUUAAAUGGAAUUUUAAUAUGAAAGUGGAUUUGAAUGUAAUUAUUAUUUUAGAUUGUAUUAAUGAUUUAGUUUCUAGAAUGUGUACACAUCGCCCGUCGCUCUCGUUAUUUAUUCGAG